rnacentral:ncRNA from 1 species
CAGAGUAAGACGGCGCGCGUGGAUUUUUCCGACAGUGCUUUGUGAACGGGGAGUUGUCACAGGGACGAAUGGCUUCGGUCGGCGGUGCGUAGUCUGCAUCCCGCUGU